rnacentral:rRNA from 1 species
GACGUAGGGUCCGAGCGUUGUCCGGAGUUACUGGGCGUAAAGGGCGCGUAGGCGGCUUUGUGCGUCACACGUGAAAGCCCCCGGCUUAACCAGGGAGGGUCGUGUGAAACGGCGAAGCUGGAGGCAGAGAGAGGCUGGUGGAAUUCCCGGAGUAGUGGUGAAAUGCGUAGAUAUCGGGAGGAACACCGGUGGCGAAGGCGGCCAGCUGGCUCUGGACCUGACGCGUGAGGCGCGGAAGGCGAU